GUGCUUACAAAGUAGGUGCUCAAUAAUUGUAAUGCUCUUCCCAGGUUGAACAUUCGCUAUAUUAAGACCAUGCACGUGUCCCUAGACCUAGUUCUUUUUCUUCGUCUGGUUUUAUAAAUGCUGGUGAUGAAC
rnacentral:snoRNA from 1 species